rnacentral:rRNA from 1 species
CUUACAUGGACAAAUUGCGUCUAGCAAUAUGAGAUUGAGCAAUAAGASGUCUGUGAUGCCCUUAGAUGUCCUGGGCUGCACGCGCGCUACAAUGAAAGUAUCAACGUGUAUUUCCUUAGAUCCGAGAGGUCCGGGUAAACCGCUGAACCACUUUGAUGCUUGGGAUUGUGAACUGAAACUGUUCACANGAACGNGGAAUUCCCAGUAAGUGUGAG